AGCAGCCGCGGUAAUUCCAGCUCCAAUAGCGUAUAUUAAAGUUGUUGCAGUUAAAAAGCUCGUAGUUGAAUUUCGGGAUCAGUACGCCGGUCGUGCCUUCGGUAUGCACUGGUGUCACUGAUUCCUCCCUUCUGAAGAACCGUUAUGCCAUUUAUUUGGUGUGGCGGGGAAUCAGGACUGUUACUUUGAAAAAAUUAGAGUGUUUAAAGCAGGCUCGCGCUUGAAUACAUUAGCAUGGAAUAAUGAAAUAGGACGUUUGAUCUUAUUUUGUUGGUUUCUAGGAUCGACGUAAUGAUUAAUAGGGAUAGUUGGGGGCAUUAGUAUUCAAUUGUCAGAGGUGAAAUUCUUGGAUUUAUUGAAGACUAACUACUGCGAAAGCAUUUGCCAAGGAUGUUUUCAUUAAUCAAGAACGAAAGUUAGGGGAUCGAAGACGAUCAGAUACCGUCGUAGUCUUAACCAUAAACUAUGCCGACUAGGGAUCGGAUGAUGUUAAUUUUUUAAUGUACUCAUUCGGCGUACC
rnacentral:rRNA from 1 species